CUCCUUCAACUCCUUCAACAUAAUUUAGAGGAUUAAAGAUUUGAUUGUGUUCUCCCAUCUAUCAAGGGUAACAAAAUACAAGCAGUAAUGUACGGAGAGACUAUCGAAAAGUUUAUAGAUAUGCUUCAAAAAAAUCAAAUUAUUUUCAUUUCAAAUGGAGAAGUGAAAAGAAUAAACCCAGCUUUUCCAAGUAUCCACAAGUCACUUGAAUUAGUACUAACAAAAGACGUAUCGAUCAAAGAAGCACCAACAUGAUUCCACUUGGAGAACAUAUUUAACAACUUUGUCCAAUUUGAAGAAGCAUUUUCUAUGAAAGAUGCAACAAAAAUUAAUAUUCUUGCAAUAACAACUAAUGUUAAGCCAGCGAUCAACUAUAUUACAAGACACAACAAACCAGACACUAGGAGGGAAAUCACGCUUAUGGAUAUGAGUGGAAUGCCAACGUGUGCAACUUUAUUUUGAUAUUUAGCUACAAAUGAAGGAUCAAUUUUUGAAGCAGAAAUCAAAUAUAAACCUGUAAUAGCAUUAUCAGAUUUUAAAAUCUCUAUAUAUCAAGGAGAUACAAGCAUAUCGUCGCAAAUUAUUUCAACAUUAUGUAUCAACCCAAAAAUAGAACUAGCUAGCGAAUUAAGAGAAUGGUAAGCAGAACAAGAAUACUUUCAUAUAACAUAAUAAUGGAAUAUUAUUAUAUUUUAAUCUAAUAUGCAGGUUUCAAUUGGAAGAAUCUGCAAAAGCAAAAGGAUCUCCAUCGACGCUUUUUAAAAAUGCCAAGGAAAUUCAUAUUAGUGAUAUUAUGCAUAAGUCACAUAAUUCGAUAUAGGCACAGUAUUGCACAUUUAAGGCAAAGAUAACUAAUAUUUUAAAUAGGCUUGAGCCAUGGUUCUAUGCUUGCAAAGGCUGUGACAAGAAGGUUGAUAAAGAUGUUAGUAAAGAGUGUCUGAAUGCCAAAUGCCGCAGAAUCAUUGAUGACCCAGUACCAAGGUACUUAGUUAAGAUUCUCGGGGAAAAUGGCACGGAUAAUGCAAGAGUAACACUCUUUGACGCAGCAGAAACUCUUAUUGCAAAGCAGAAACAUUCAUUACAGAAAAUAAAGAGAAAAAUAAUCAAAGUCCAUAUUUCCAAAAAAUUGUUUUGACCAUCGGAAAAACAUUCAACUUCCUGGUGAAGUUAGAUGAAAAGACAAAAGAUGAACGAGGCGAAGGCAAUAUAAUAGCACAAGAAAUUCAACUCCAGCCUGAUAUUACAAUCGACGUAGAUGAUGAAGAUGCUACUCUAGAGUUGCCCAGAAAAAAGAUAAAGGUGGAGAAAGAUUGA